AUUGAACGCUGGCGGCAUGCUUUACACAUGCCAGUCGAACGGCAGCGCGGGCUUCGGCCUGGCGGCGAGUGGCGAACGGGUGAGUAAUACAUCGGAACGUGCCCAGUAGUGGGGGAUAGCGCGGCGAAAGCCGGAUUAAUACCGCAUACGACCUGAGGGUGAAAGCGGGGGAUCUUCGGACCUCGCGCUAUUGGAGCGGCCGAUGGCAGAUUAGCUAGUUGGUGGGGUAAAGGCCUACCAAGGCGACGAUCUGUAGCUGGUCUGAGAGGACGACCAGCCACACUGGGACUGAGACACGGCCCAGACUCCUACGGGAGGCAGCAGUGGGGAAUUUUGGACAAUGGGCGAAAGCCUGAUCCAGCAAUGCCGCGUGUGUGAUGAAGGCCUUCGGGUUGUAAAGCACUUUUGGCGGGAACGAAAAGGACUGAGCCAAUACCACGGUUCGAUGACGGUACCCGCAGAAUAAGCACCGGCUAACUACGUG
rnacentral:rRNA from 1 species